AGUUCUUUGGGAGCACCCUGGGAAACAGUGUGGCUAUGACUUGGAGCUGCUCACCAGUUCCAGUCAUUCUGUGGUUGAGAGCUGCUCCCUAUGGAUGUUAAUUCUUCUCUAUUUUAGAUUUUCCACAGGUGUGGGCCCCAUUAGCUCUGGCCACCUGAGAAAGCCCUCAGGCAAAGAGUCGCAGGUGAAAGCCAGCAGUUAGAGGUUCACAGAAAUGAGUGCAGAAGCAUCUUCAGUUGGAGAGCCAUUGCCUCUUGCUGUGAAAUAUUUGGGAAUCUUCAGAAACCAUGAAGAAUAACCUGCUAAAGGCAUCUCUAUUUUCCACAAAGCAAUAUUGAAGUUAGGCCAAUUAAUAACCCUACAAUGGCUUCUAAGUGUUUGAGGGAAAGGAAGAGUUUCAUGUCUCUCACUUGGAAUCAAAAGCUAGAAAUGAUGAAGCUUAGAGAGAAAGGCAUGUCAAAAGCCACCAUGAGCUGAAACCUGGGUCUUUUGUGCCUAACAGCCAAGUUGUGAAUGCAAAGGAAAGGUUCUUGGGAGAAAUUGAAAAUGUUAUUUGUGUGUUCACAAAUGAUAAGAAUGAGAGCAAAACAACCUUAUUUCUGAUAUGGAGAAAGUCCACGUGAUCAGGAUAGAAGGUCAAACCAGCCAUAACAUUCACUUAAGCCAAAGUCUAAUCCAGGGCAAGAACCUAACUCUUUAAGUCUGUGAAGAGUGAGAGAGGUGAGGAAGCUGCAAAGAAAAGUUUAAAGCUAGCAGAGCUUGGUUCAUGAGGUUUAAGGAAAAAAGCCAUCUCCAUAACAUAAAAGUGCAAGGUUAGGCCAUAAGUGCUGAUAGGGAAGUUGCAGUAAGUUAUCCAGAAGAUCUACCUACAAUCAUUAAUGAACAUGACUAUGCUAAACAAUAGAUUUUUUAUGUAGAUGAAACAGCCUUAUCCUGUAUUAGAAGAAGAAGCCAUAUAAAACUCCCAUAGCGAGUCAGGUGCGUUGGAUCACACCUAUAAUCCCAGCACUUUGGGAGGCUAAGGCAGGAGGAUCACUUGAGCCCAGGAGUUGAGGACCAGUCUGGGCAACAUGGCAAAACCCAGUCUCUACCAAAAAUAUAAAAAUUAGCCAGGUGUAGGGGCAUGUGCCUGUAAUCCCAGCUACUUGAGACUUGCGAGGCUGAGGUAGGAGACUCGCUUGAACCCAGGAGAUCAAGGCUACAGUGAGCCAUGAUCAUGCCACUGCUUUCCAGCCUGGGUGGAAGAGCAAGACUGUCUCAAAAAAAGAACAACAACAACAACAAACCCCCCCAAAACAAAAAGCUCUCAUAGCUAAAGAGGAAAAGUCAAUGACUGUCUUGUGAGGGGCUAAUCCAGCUGGUGACUAAGUUGAAACCAGUGCUCCUUUACCAUUCCAAAAAUCCUAGGUCCGUUAAGAAUUAUGCCAAAUCUACUCUCCCUUGUGCACAAAUGGAUGACAGCACAUCUGUUUAGAGCAUCGUUGGGUGAAUAUUUUAAGCCCACUAUUGAUAUCCACUACUCAGAAGAACAGAUUCCUUUAAAAAUAUUAAUGCUCAUUGACAUUGCACCUGGUCACUCAAGAGCCCUGAUGGAGACGUACAAGGAGAUUAACAAUGUUUUCAUGCCUGCUAACACAACACCUAUUCUGCAGCCCAUGGAUUAAGGAGUAAUCUUGACAUUCAAGUAUUGUUAUUUAAGAAAUACAUUUUGUAAGGCUAUAGCUGCUACAUACCAUGGUUCCUCUGAUGGACCUGAACAAAGUAAAUUGAAAUGACCUUCUGGAAAGGAUUUACCAUUCUAGAUGCUAUUAAAAACAUUCAUGGUUCAUGGUAAAAGGUCAAAAUAUCCACAUUAAUUGAAGUUUAGAAGAAGCUGACUCUAACCCUCAUGGAUUACUUUGAAAGAUUCAAGACUUCAGCAGAGGAAGUAACUGCAGAGACGUCUGGUGAACAACAAAAGAACUAGAAUUAAAAGUGGAACUUAAAGAUGUGACUGAAUUGCUGCAAUCUCAGAAUUGAACUAUAAUAGAUGAGGAGUUGCUUCUUAUGGAUGAGCAAAGAAGGUGUUUUUUGAGAUGGAUUCAGCCUGGUGAAGAGGCUGUAAACAUUGUUGAAGUGACAACAAAAGACUUAGAAGCUUACGUAAAUGUAUCUGAUAAGGUGGUAGGGUUUGAGAGAGUUGACUUCAAUUUUGAAAGACAUGCUACUGUGGGUAAUAUACUAUCAAAUGGCAUUGCAUCCUACAGAGAACUCUUUCAGAAAAUAAACAACCAAUACAACAAACUUUAUUGUUAUUUUGUUUUAAGAAACUGACACAGCCACCCCAAUUUUCAACAACUAUGACCCAGUCAGCAGCCAUCAACAUGCAGCCAAUAACAUGGAGUCAAGACUCUCUACCAGCAAAAAUAUUAGGACUCACUGAAGGAUUAGAUGAUUGUUAGCAUUUUUUAGCAAUUAAGUAUUUUUAAUUAAGGCAUGUACAUUAUUUUUUACACGUAAUGCUAUUGCAUACUUAACAGACUACGGCAUAGUAUAUUAUAACUUUUAUAUGCACUGGAAAACCAAAAAACGUGUGUGACUUACUUAAUUGCAAUAUUUGCUUUAUUGCAGUGAUCUGGAAUUGACCCCAAAAUAUCUCUGAUAUUGCUUAUAAUCUGCAAUAUCAAAACUUGUUUGAAACAGCCAAAACAGAGAAAUAUUUACAGCCUUGGUGCUUAAGAUAAUAUUAAAAACAUUGUUGCACUGCUUAUAUGAUACGGAGAAAGAUGAGGAAUAAACUAAACAUUUAAGUAAAGAAGCCAAACAUGAUUAAUAAAGAAAAUCCUUUAAAGAACAGUAAUUAAAAAUCUAAAUGCAACAACAAGCAGAAAACAAAACAGUAGACUUAAUAAAAUCAGAAGAUUCUAUGCAACAUAGACAAAAUGUUUGGUUAAGGACAAAAGAGGUGAUGCAAACAAACUAUAUUAGGAAUGAGAAAGAUGACAUAAAUGGAAUCAUGAAAGGAAUUUUAAAAUAAAAUAGUAUAAUAGUUUAAAACAAUUGAUUGGAAUAUAGAUUGGACAGACAAUUUUCUAGGAAAAUGUGAAUUGCUAAAUUUGAAUCACAAAGGAAAAGAAAAUUAAAACAUACUAGUGACAAUUAUGGUAAUUAAAAAUCGGUAAAAGAUCUGCUCCCAAAAGAAGGCAAAGGAUCUGGGUAGAUUUCAAGGAAUGAUAAAUUUUGAUACUUUAUACACUAUCCCAAAGCAUAGAGAGCUUUAGGAAAAAAGGAUAAUUUUUUAAUUCACUCAAAAGGGUUAGCAUCAUACUAAUAUUUAAGCCAUACAAGAAUAGCACUAAAAAAAAGCCCAUAUGUUAUAACUCAUUUAUAAAAGGAGGUGAAAAGUCUUAAAUAAAUUGUUAGUAAAUAGAAUACAAAGGUAUCAAAAAUAUAAAACAUAAAGACGUGAACUGAUUCCAAGAAUGAAAUAAUUAUUUAACAUUUGAAAAAAUUAUAAGUGCAAUUCUUCAGAAAAGGUUUAAAUAUAAUUACCUAGAAACAUUCUAAGGACAAUCCCCUAGACUCAUUAAUGCUACUAUAACUUAAUGAAAUUUAUACUCAUGCCUUAAUUUUUAAAAAUCUAUUUUAGCAAACAAAGGAAAAAAACACUUUCUUAGCUUGAAAAGGCUAUUGACUAUAAAUCUACAGUAAGCAUCAUAAUGUUGCAACAUUGGAAACAUUCCUAAUACAAUCAGGAAUAAGACAAGAAUUUAUGCUAUUACCACUACUAUUCAAGCAGGGCUCCUAAUAAUGCAAUAUAAUAAGAAAAUUAAAUAAAGGCAAAAAAUAUCAUUAUUAGCAGCCAUAAUGAUUGCCUACUUAGAAAUCAAAAGAGAAUCAACUGAGAAGCUUUCACACCUAAUAAGAGAGUUCAACAAGAAAAGCAGAUAUAGAUAAGAAUGGUUAAAUUUCACCAGCAACGGUCAAAAUAUUUAUAAUAACAAUGAAUUCAAAAUAAGUACAGAUAAACUUAAUAAGAAAUUUUCAAAACCUUUAUGAAUAAAGCUAUAAAACUUUACUGAACAAAGAUAAUACCUGAAUAAAUGGAGAAAUAUCCUGUGUUUAUAAAAGGUAAGAUUUACUACUUUAAAAUUAUACAUUAGCACCUAUAUAUUUAUAGAUUAUAUAUUUAAUAAGUUGUAAUAAAAAUUGCAAGAGGAUUUAUCAAUAGAACUUUAGAUAAUUCUAAAGGUCAUCUGAGAAAAAUACACAGAAAUAGAAAACUUUUUGGGAUAAAAUAAGGAAUGAUUUCUACUCAAUAUGAAAACAUAUUAUAAAGCUAGAAAGAUUAAAUCAUUAAAGUAUUAUUUUAGAAACAGACAGAUUAGUAGAACACAAGAGAGUCAUAAAAAUAUUCAUUUGUAUGUGAUAUUUAGUUUAUGGUAAAGAAAAUUUGUUCUAUCAGUGAGCAAAAGAUAGAGCUUUCAACAAAUGGCACAGAGAUGAUUGGCAACCAAAGCAAGGGAAAAAAUGGUUUUUAAAUAACAUCAUGUACAAAAAUAAAUUGCAGACACAUUAAAAGGUUAAAUAUUAGAAAGAAAUACAGGGGACAAGUUUUGUAAUUUUGGUGGUUGGAAAGUCCUUACUAUAUAAGAUUUACAACCUAAAGACAUAAAGGAAAAGACUGAGCUUUUACUACAUUAAAAUUAAAAGCUGCUGAUCUAUGAGUGAUACCAUAAACAAAGUAAAAAAUAAAGCAACACACGGAGCAAAACAGCAACAUAGCUGUAUUUAUUGUUAUCUAUUUAAAAGGUGAAGAUACAUAUUCACAGUGUAUAAUGUUUUAUAAGCGUUUAGGAAAAAGACAAAUAAUAUAAUUGAAAAAAUUGACAAAGACUGAACAAAAAUUAUAUGCAGAAGAAAUAUAAAUGUACAUAAAAAAAGUGAAAAAUGAUCAGUUUCAUUAGUGUUCAAGAAAGGGCAAAUUAAUAUACAAACAAUUUUUUCUCAUUAGAUUGACAAAAAUAAUAUUAAAAGUCAACAGAUAACAUUCAAAAUUGAAGUAUGGGCAAAUUUCAUAUUCUCUGUGGUUAUAUAAAUUGGGCUGACACUUUUAGAACACAAAUUCCCAAUAUUUUGAUUAGAGAAAAUUUACAAAUUUAGGUAGGUCUCACACCAGUUUUACUUCUGGAGGAGAUGGAGGGUAAGAUUGGAGAAGGGAGGAGAAAAAAUACUCACUUUGUAUACUUCUAUAUCACUGAAUAUUUUAGAGUAAGAAUAUCUUCAUUACUUAAUACUUAUGUAUUACUUAAUGUAUUUACUUUAAAAAAUAAUUGCAUUGAGUUAGAACUGUCUACACAAAUAGAAAAUGCACCCAACUUGAAGCACAAAUGUAUUAAUGAGAGUUCACUUUUGUGUCAAGUGAGGACACGUCCCUCUAGAAUGUAUAGCUUAGAUUACAAAUUACCAAAAUGUCAUCUCAUUUGUAAGAAAACACAAGACAUGGUUUGCUCACAGUCUCUCUACUGCUACUGAAACUUUUGUAAACAUUCUUUUUCCCUUUUAAUGAACAUAAAUUCAACUUCUCUGUUGAUUCCCAGAGACUCCUUAGUUGUUUCCACUGCAUAUGCCUCACUAAAUCAGACUUCAGUUAAUUAAAUUCGCUUUACAGCUGCUACAAUUCUUUUGGGCCAUUAGGCUUAAGGGGAUCUAUUAAAAAUAUAAUUUUAUGAUGUCAAAUUCAAGAGAAAAAUGGAAGAUAUUGGACUUGGGCAGAAAGGUGAACUAUUUCUAAGCAAAUAAAGAAAGCCACUCUACCCAUUAUUCUUUUUUUUUUUUAAUAAACAAGUUGAGAAAACUCUUCUGCUCAUCCAUUAUACUUUCUUAGCAAAACUCCAAACUAGGCUCAACCUUAGCAAAACUCCAAACUAGGCUCAAGCCUGCUCUUUGUCUAAAUCUGUAUUGCCAAGUCCUGCUAAAGAAAAUUAUAGAACCACUGAGAUGAGUAUGAUUAAAACUACAGUCAGUGACCCAAACUGGGCCCUCAACGCUCAGGAU
rnacentral:lncRNA from 1 species